rnacentral:lncRNA from 1 species
UCAAACAUAAAAUGUGCUUAAAACAAAAAACUAAAGUAUUUUUCUCCCCCACUUUGUAAGACUUUUAUGCAAAUGUUUAACUCUUUAUAAGACCUUUGCUUACACAAAUGCUUUGCUGAGGUUUUCUCAUACUGAAGUCACUGAGCCUUCCCUCUUCAUUUCCUUUAUGUCAAUCCUUUUUAAACUAGCCAGUCUUUUUUAUUUUUAAUUAGAUAUCUUUCUUUAUUUACAUUUCAAAUGUUAUUCCCUUUCGCCAUUUCCUGUCCAUAAGCUCCCAUCCCCUCCCCCUCCCCCAUACGGGUGUUCAUCCCCCAAUCCACCCCCCUUUCCACCCUCCCCAACUUUACCCUGCACUGGGGGGUCCAACAUUGGCAGGACCAAGGGCUUCCCCUUCCACUGGUGCCCCAACAAGGCUAUUCUCUGCUACAUAUGCAGUUGGAGUCCAGGGUCAGUCCAUGUAGAGUCUUUGGGUAGUGGUUUAGUCCCUGGAAGCUCUGGUUGGUUGGCAUUGUUGUUCUUAAGGGGU